CAAUGUUGUUAUCUGAUAAAUCAAAUGUAGUGAUAGAAAGUCAGAUUGUAGUUCAGAAGACGCAGCAGUAUACUCUGAAUUAUCUCCUUUACAGGUUGAUUUGAAUAUAAGCCAGCGUUUGAUAAAUCCUAAUAAUUUAGAAUCUGAGAAGUGGUUGACUCAACUCAAUCAAGAGCUUGAAAAUCAAGGACUUAGUUUACCUGAAAGAAUCAAUGAUGACGAGCUUAGGA